CACAGAUAUUGUAGCUGGUUCCGCACCGGGACGAGCCUAGGAACUCCAUAACCGCGUGUUACGGGAUGGCCCCCGGGCCCCGAGGCCCGGUGCCGACGAGAGCGCGAGCACGAGGGCGCCUUUGUCAAUGGCCCCUACGUCGUACACGUUUCCAUAC